AAAUGAGGGGCUUUGGCGUGAAAUGAGUGAGAAAUGAGGGGGUUUGGGGUGAAAUGAGUGAGAAAUGAGGGGGUUUGGGGUGAAAUGAGGGGAUUUGGGGCGCGAAGGGGGGAGACGUGAGGGGAUUUGGGGUGAAAUGUGGAGGUUUGAGGGGUUUGGGUGAGAAACGAGGGGAUUUGGGUGAGGUAUGAGGGGAUUUUGGAUGAAAUGAAGGGAUUUGAGGGAAAGGAGUGAGAAAUGAGAGAGUUUGAGGAGAAAUGAGAGGAUUUGGGACAAAAAAGUGAGAAAUGAGGGAACUUGGGGGAGGUAUGAGGGGAUUCGGGGUGAAAUGAGGGGAUUUGAGGGUUUUGGGUGAGAAAUGAGGGAAUUUGGGGUGGAAAGAGGAGAGUUGAGGUGAAAUCAGGGGAUUUGAGGAGAAAUGAGGCAAUUUGGGGUAAAGGAGUGAGAAAUGAGGGGAUUUUGGGUGAAAUGAGGGGAUUUGAGGAGUUUGGGUGAGAAAUGAGGGGGUUUGGGGUAAAUGAGUGAGAAACGAGAGGAUUUGGGAGAGAAAUUACGAGAUUUGGGGUGAAAUAAGGAGAUUCGAGGGAUUUGGGAAAGAAAUGAUGUGAUUUGUGGAGUUUGGGGAAGAAAUGGGAAGAUUUGGGGUGAAACGAGGGGUUUGGGGAAGAAAUGGGAGGAUUUGAGGAGAUUUUGGGGAAAUCAGGAGUUUUUGGGGGAAGAUUUGAGGGAAAUCCAAAAGUUCUGAAGAGUCUCAGAGAGAAUUUGGUGAAAAUCUCAAGAUUUGGGGGAAAUCCAGAGGUUUUAGGUGGAUUUGAGGGAAUUCUCAGGUUUUGAGGAACCUCAGAGUAAAUUUGGUGGAAAUCAGGAGGUUUUGGGGGGAAAAUUGGAGGUUUUGGGGGAAAUUCUGAAGUUUUGAGGGAAAUUCUGAAGUUUUGAGGAGUCUCAGAGGGGAUUUGGGGAAAAAUCAAAAGAUUUUGGGGUUCCCUCUGGGAUUUUGGGGCAAAAUCAGGAGGUUUUCAGUGAAAUUGGGAGGUUUUGGCUGAAAUCAGGAGGUUUUGGGGUGAAAUCGGGGGAUUUGGGGCUCUCAGAUGAUUUUGGGGUGAAAUCGGGAGGUUUUGGGGUCACUGAGGAAGCCCCGCCCCCAACGGAUGAAGCCCCGCCCUCUUUCCAGGACCCUGCGCUCCCCAUUGGUCCGAGCUCUGUGACGUCAUCGCGGGUGGCACCAAUCAGAGCCUGGAGCUCCGGAGCCCCCCCAGCCUGAGGAGAGCCCCCAAAAUCCCCCAAAUUCACCCCAAAAAAUCCCAAAUUCACCCCAAAAAAUCCCAAAUUCACCCCAAAACCCCCAGGACCCCCAAAACCCCAAAUUCACCCCAAAACCCCCCAAAUUUUCCCCCAAAAAACCCCAAAUUAUCCCCAAAUCACCCCAAAAUCCCCCUGGGACUCCCCAACCCCCCCAAAAUUGGGGUUGGGGACCCCCAAAUUCCCCCCAGGACCCCCCAAAUCCUCCCCAAAUUUCCAUUUUUUGGAAUUGGGGACCCCCAAAUUCCCAUUUUUUGGGGUCAGGACCCCCCAAAAUUUCCAUUUUUAGGGUUCUGGUCCCUUAAAAUCCCCCCAAAUUUCGGAUUUUUGGGGUUGAGACCCCCAAAUCUUUCCCAAAUUUCAGAUUUUUUGGGUCAGAACCCCCAAAUCUGCCUCAAAAUUUGGAUUUUUGGCGUUGAAACCCCCAAAUCUUUCUCAAAUUUUGGAUUUUUGGGUCGGAACUUCCAAACCCUCCCCAAAUUUCGGAUUUUUGGGCUCGUGCCCCCCAGAACUCCCCAAAAUUUUUGAUUUUUGGGUUCAACUCCCCCCUUAAAUUCCCAUUUUUUGGGGUCAGAACCCCCCAAAUUUCAGAUUUUCGUCCUUGUGCCCCCCGAACUCUCCUCAAAUUUCACAUUUUUUGUCUUUAGGACCCCCAAAUUCCCAUUUUUUGGCUCAGAACCCCACAAAUUUCAGAUUUUUGCCUUCAAACCUCCCAAAUUCCCAUUUUUUUGCCCCAGACCCCCCCAAAUUUCACAUUUUUUGGGUGAGAAUUCCAAAAAUUUCUGAUUUCCACCCUCAGACCCUCCAAAUUUCAGAUUUUUGGGCUCAGAACCCCCAAAUUUUUAAUUUUUCCUCUCAAAUCCCCCCAAAUUUCAGAUUUUUGAGGUCAGAACCCCCAAAUUUUUGAUUUUUCUCCUCUAACCCCCCGAAAUUUCAGAUUUUUGGGCUCAGAACCGCCAAAUUCCCAUUUUUUGGCCUCAAACUCCUCCCAAAUUUUUGAUUUUUGCCCUCUAAACCCCCCCAAAAUUCAGAUUUUCCCCCUUAAAGCCCCCAAAUUUCCGAUUUUUGCCCCCAAAUUUCCGAUUUUUCCCUGAAAUUUCCAAUUUUUGCCCCCAAAUUUUCCAA